CGAGAGCUGUACUUUGGGGUCUUGGAAGCAACCCCCCCACCCUCGGCAGGAGGAGCUGUUUCCUGAGAUGGCGAAGGGCGUGGAGCCCUGGGAGCCACGUUGCAGCGCUGCCGCUUUCCACGUGGCCUCUUCUCUUGGCAGCGCACGCACUGAAACUGGAAUGACAGAGGCAUGAGCAUGGCCCCUGUGCAAGGAUGACGUGCAAACGUGUGAGUCGGCGUUUCCAGAAGAGUGAUGUUCAGGGAGAUGCAAGCACUGGGGCCACGAAGUCUUCUCGUGGAAGCAUCCGACGCUCUGAAGACCCCUUCGGCCGGUUUUCUCCGGCGCAGAGGCCUCACUCCUGACCUCACCCCCACCUCCUUUUAGGGCCACACCCACAGCAUAUAAACAUGCCUGGGCUAGGGGCCGAAUCGGAGCUUUAGCUGUCUGCUGACACCACAGCCACAGCCACACAGGAUUCACGCCGAGUCUGUGACCUACAG
rnacentral:lncRNA from 1 species